AUCCUGUGGCGCAAUGGGUUAGUGCGUCUGGCUGCUAACCAGAAGGUUGGUGGUUCGAGUCCACCUAGGGAUG
rnacentral:tRNA from 1 species